UAGCCAAUCGGCCCAAAAAAUUAACAAAAAUUAAAAUAAAAAAAUCUAAAAACAAUGAGUCCAAUCCACAUCAAACCCUCUAUAGAUAAUAAGAAGAGUAAUCUAAUAACAUCCGCCUCUCAUUUUCCUUUUCCAAUAUUGGCUUCAAGAUGUUUUCUUACGACAGUCUCUAGAGCCUCACACUUCGCUGCCUCUUUUUGUGAAUCUAUUUCUUUUUUUAUCUCUUUUUCACCGUCUUUUACACCUCACAGAAAGGCAUUCACUACUGAGAAGUAAUCGAUUGUCCUUUCUUUUCCUUCUUUUCUUGUUCUUUCCUUGUCAUUUGACCUUCCUCUAUCGUUGAUUAGGAGGUAAUGUAUUGUCCACCAAUCUUUCACUUCACAAAGCAUCGCAACGUUCAAAAAGGAAAAAUAUCCGACCUUGUAAUUUGGAGCACGUGUGACCGGUCUACUGCUACGAGCGGUGAUCGUUUGUGCCAUCUUUUGCAACUUGUGGAUAUCUGAAACGAAUGUGAGCAUUUGGCGUCCUAGAUCAUUGUGUCUCCUUCUGUAUAUGUGUUUGUUAGUCUUUUGCCUUUAAGACGACUUGUUGUGGUCGAUUUUUGAGACUUGUAUUCGUUCAUACUAGAUAACUUUGUGCUUCUGACUUCCAAGUUCUGGAAGUGUUCCAUUGUAUAUAGUUUUUGGUUUGCUUCUGUAUCUGUAUUUUCUAUUGUUGGGGUUAUUUUCUAUUUAAUUCUACCCUUGCUCA